AACUCUUAGCGGUGGAUCACUCGGCUCGUGCGUCGAUGAAGAACGCAGCUAGCUGCGAGAACUAAUGUGAAUUGCAGGACACAUUGAUCAUCGACACUUCGAACGCACCUUGGCCGGGCCCCCGGGGUUCCCGUCCCGGGGCUACGCCUGUCUGAGGGUCG
rnacentral:rRNA from 15 species